GACGAACGCUGGCGGCGUGCUUAACACAUGCAAGUCGAACGGAAAGGCCCUGCUUGCAGGGUGCUCGAGUGGCGAACGGGUGAGUAACACGUGGGUGAUCUGCCCCUUACUUUGGGAUAAGCCUGGGAAACUGGGUCUAAUACUGGAUAGGACCAUGCUGUAGGUGGUGUGGUGGAAAGAUUAGUUUCGGUAAGGGAUGAGCUCGCGGCCUAUCCGCUUGUUGGUGGGGUAAUGGCCUACCAAGGCGUCGACGGGUAGCCGGCCUGAGAGGGUGGACGGCCACAUUGGGACUGAGAUACGACGCAGACUCCUACGGGAGGCAGCAGUGGGGAAUAUUGCACAAUAGGCGCAAGCCUGAUGCAGCGACGCCGCGUGGGGGAUGACGGCCUUCGGGUUGUAAACUCCUUUCAGCCAUGACGAAGCCCUUGUGGUGACGGUAGUGGUAGAAGAAGCACCGGCUAACUACGUG
rnacentral:rRNA from 1 species